rnacentral:lncRNA from 1 species
UUUGUUCAAUCAUCAUUCAUUUCAUUCUUAAUUCAAAUCAAUCAGGAUUCAAUGCUAAAAAAACUUAAUCCUUUUGCUACAUAAACUCAAGAAUUCCACACUAAGGAAGGGGAGAGAACGCAAAAAACAGAGCAAAAAUAACAGAAAAAACACAGUGCAGCAGCGCUGCUUCUUUCUCCUCUCACAAACUCCAUUUUCCUUCAAACCACUACCACCAUUAACAACCUUCUCAUAACCACCACAUUCAAACCAACUCCGCC